GGAAAAGCAAAAGGUUAGAAGAAACAAAUCAUAUUUUCAGAGCAAUGGCAGUUCUGCAUAAUUAUGUGAAGAAAGCCUCAGCCUUUGUAUCACAAUUUCCUGAUACUUCUGCAGUAAUGAAAAUGGUAAUUCUGUCUUACUUUAUAGAAUGUCACCCCUGGGGAAACAUUGGACCUGAAAAGUAUAAGACAGGAAGAGGAAGGAUUUUAAAUGGGUACUCUGCUGCUGAGUCCUAUCUUUGGAGAGAAAUGGUAUUUCUGUGAAUGGUUUUCUAGACUGUUCAGUCGUGCAAGGGAAAGGAAGGAGCAAAGAGAAGAGGGAAAAGGCUGGAUAUCUGGUUUUGUCUGUUCUGAAUGAGUUUUAUUACGAGCAGUAGUUUUUAUCCUUGGAGCCAGCUGGAACCGGCCUUGUUCAGCACAGGGCAGCCCAGGCCCCGCCUCACAGGGGCCCGGCAGCCCCUUGCUGGCACCAGGGCACCUGGAGCCAAUUCACUGGUGAUCUUAUAGCAGCUAAAAACAUCUGUUCAUAUAAUAUUCUGUGAUUCUUCUAAAAAAAAAAAAAAAAAAAAAAAAACAA